AUGCUCACAUUGACAGCACAUAUACUAAAAAUUGUAAUGAUAUGGAGAAGAUUAGCAUGGCCCCUGAGCAAGGAGGAUGCAUAAAUUCAUGAAGCGUUCCUUACUUUU